UGGUGAUGAUAACGACAGGGAUACACCCGGAAACAUUUCGAACCUGGCAGUUAAGUCUGUUAGUGCCUAAAAUACUUGGAUUCGUCCUGGGAAGAUAGGUAGUUGCCAAACU
rnacentral:rRNA from 1 species